rnacentral:lncRNA from 1 species
UGCACCAAUCCCAUGAAAAUGUAGAAACAACCCAGAAAGUCAGAAGCACAGAGAAAUUAUAUUGGAUUAAGCGCAACUCGGACAUCAGUAUUAGGAUUUAACACGAUACCACAAGGGGAAAAAACUCAUAAGGUUCCAAAGUGAAUAUUAUUACAAUAUGGUACUACCAAGGUUUCUUUUUUAGAAAAAAAAAGAACAUAUUGCACUCAUAACAAUCAUAAGCGUGCGCUCGAUAGGGUAAACUGUAAACUUCAUGGUUUCCCCGUCACCAACAGACCGAGCAGAAGCCAUGUCAUGGCAUCGAGAUGUUCGUUAUUCUAUUUCAUAUGCCUUGCCACUAUUUUCCUCCAUUUGUGUUGCAUCGUUUUCCUUCCAGUAUCGAGCAGCAAGGAGCCAUCGACGACAAGGUUCAUGAUUGAGAGGCAGGAUAGCCAAUCGAUCUCAUAUGGGCAGAAGUUAUACUUGUUUGUAGCACGCUCAUUACCAAUCUUCCUCAUUGACCUAUCUCUCAGGCUGAAAAAUUCAGAGGCCUUCACCAUCAACCCAAAGCACUACCGUGCCACACUCUUCCCUUGGAACAACUCCAACCUGAUCUUUGCUCUGGGCUGCAUCUGGACCACCCUUAUCGGCAAGGAACGAACUUGCCAGGUUGAUUGUUACAGAGAGAACCCAGCUGCUGCCAUCACUGCCAUGCUUCCACAGUGACAUCUCUAGGCCAUUCAAUAAGAGUAACAGAAGCCCCCACCAAUCUGCAGAACUUGCUAGCAAUGGCGCCUUUGCUGCGUUUAGCAUGAAGAGGGAGCUCUAGGUAUGAAAGCGUUGGGU